AUUGAACGCUGGCGGCAGGCCUAACACAUGCAAGUCGAACGAGUGGCGGACGGGUGAGUAAUGUCUGGGAACCUGCCCGAUGGAGGGGGAUAACUACUGGAAACGGUAGCUAAUACCGCGUACCAUCGGAUGUGCCCAGAUGGGAUUAGCUAGUGGGGGGGGAAACGGCUCCCAUAGACGAAGAUCCCUAGCUGGUCUGAGAGGAUGACCAGCCACACUGGAACGGAGAAACGGCCCAGACUCCACGGGGAGGCAGCAGUGGGGAAUAUUGCACAAUGGGCGCAAGCCUGAUGCACCCAUGCCGCGUGUAUGAAGAAGGCAGUCGGGUUGUAAAGUACUUUCAGCGAGGAGGCGUUACUCGCAGAAGAAGCACCGGCUAACUCCGUGCCAGCCGCCGCGGUAAUAC
rnacentral:rRNA from 1 species